rnacentral:tRNA from 1 species
GCCUCUUUAGCUCAGUUGGUAGAGCAUCAGUCUCAUAUGGCAAGAAUGUGUGCGCUGAGUGUCAUCAGUUCGAUCCUGAUAGGGGCA